AAAAAACCGAGAAGCUGGUGGAAUGGCGAAAAGGCCGCCAACCCUGGCCGGUGCACCCAGCAAGAAUUAUUGACGUGGCAAAAUUUGAAAAAACUCUCCAAAUUAAACUGCGUGGGAUGGAGAUGGAGAAAGAAGUCACACAGCAAACAAAACGUCCUCACAUCCCAAACUCAAAGUACCGUGAUCAGGGGCAGACUGAGAAGGCUUCAAAGAAAAGGGUUGACAAUAAAAAGAGAUGUCCUUCUAAAUACAACAACGAGGAGGAGGAGGAGGAGGAG